AAUGACAAUGAAGACAAACUUGCCCUCACUGAGUUUUCCAUACGUGGAAACGUUGAGGAAUUCUUUUUCAGAGUCAUU